ensembl:lncRNA
AGAGACUAAAGAUAUCCACCUGUAGAUUAUAAAUCAGAUGUUUGGAGAAUAGAGACUGUAGAUUAUAAAUAAGAUGUUAGGAGAAUAGAGACUAAAGAUAUCCACCUGUAGAUUAUAAAUCAGAUGUUAGGAGAAUAGAGACUGUAGAUUAUUAAUCAGAUGUUAGGAGAAUAGAGACUAAAGAUAUCCACCUGUAGAUUAUAAAUCAGAUGUUAGGAGAAUAGAGACUAAAGAUAUCCACCUGUAGAUUAUAAUUCAGAUGUUAGGAGAAUAGAGACUAAAGAUAUCCACCUGUAGAUUAUAAAUCAGAUGUACAGUAUUUGUCUUUUUAUGUUUCAGGUUUGAUGAUAGGAGAACAGUGACUUGUACUUCACAGCUGGACCUCUGAGGUGCUGUUCAGGCCACGACAUUGUAAACCAGGGCUGGGGGGGCAAUUCUAUUUCAAAUCAGGAGGUAAAGCCGAAAUGCACAUUCCAAUGUUCCACAUUAAAAAGUUGAAAAAAAAGGAGAAUUGGAAUUUCAGUUGUACUUCCUGAAUCGACUGAUUUGAAAUGGAAUUGAGCCCAACCCUGCUAUAGACACACAGCAUGAAGUUUGUGCUAUCAUGCCAACUCCCUGUCACACUGAUGACCCUAGCCUGAGUGCCAGUCUGUUUGUGCUAUCAUGCCAACUCCCUGUCACACUGAUGACCCUAGCCUGAGUGCCAGUCUGUUUGUGCUAUCAUGCCAACUCCCUGUCACACUGAAAACAGAUCUGGGGUCAGGCUAUAGAAGGAGACAACAGAUCUGGGGUCAGUCUAUAGAAGGAGAAAAUAGAUCUGGGGUCAGGCUAUAGAAGGAGAAAAUAGAUCUGAGGUCAGGCUAUAGAAGGAGAAAACCGAUCUGGGGUCAGGCUAUAGAAGGAGACAACAGAUCUGGGGUCAGGCUAUAGAAGGAGACAACAGAUCUGGGGUCAGUCUAUAGAAGGAGACAACAGAUCUGGGGUCAGGCUAUAGAAGGAGACAACAGAUCUGGGGUCAGGCUAUAGAAGGAGAAACCGAUCUGGGGUCAGGCUAUAGAAGGAGACAACAGAUCUGGGGUCAGGCUAUAGAAGGAGACAACAGAUCUGGGGUCAGGCUAUAGAAGGAGACAAC